rnacentral:sRNA from 1 species
CUGACAGCUCUGAAGUCUCCUAUAUAUUUGCAGAAGAGGUACAUCACGGGCAGCAGCAGUUUGAGGUUCUCUCACACUUCCCCACCAAUGUGCUUCAUCAUUGACCUGCAGUGACAGCCCCUCUGUGGGUUGGGGGGGGGAGGUUGGCCUUCACAGCACAUUGACUCCUCUUUUCU